AGAGUGAACGCUGGCGGUAGGCCUAACACAUGCAAGUCGAACGGCAGCACAGUAGGAGCUUGCUCUUACGGGUGGCGAGUGGCGGACGGGUGAGGAAUACAUCGGAAUCUACCUUUUGGUGGGGGAUAACGUAGGGAAACUUACGCUAAUACCGCAUACGCCCUUCGGGGGAAAGCCGGGGACCAGCAAUGGCCUGGCGCUGAUAGAUGAGCCUAGGUCGGAUUAGCUAGUUGGUGAGGUAAUGGCUCACCAAGGCGACGAUCCCGUAACUGGGUCUGAGAGGAUGAUCAGUCACACUGGAACUGAGACACGGUCCAGACUCCUACGGGAGCAGCAGUGGGGAA
rnacentral:rRNA from 1 species